rnacentral:rRNA from 1 species
UACGUAGGAUGCAAGCGUUGUCCGGAAUUAUUGGGCGUAAAGAGGUCGUAGGCGGUGAUUUAAGUCUGAUGUUAAAGCCCGGAGCUCAACUCCGGCAUGGCAUUGGAAACUGGAUUGCUAGAGUGUGAUAGAGGUAACUGGAAUUCCAGGUGUAGCGGUGAAAUGCGUAGAUAUCUGGAGGAACACCGGUGGCGAAAGCGAGUUACUGGAUCAUAACUGACGCUGAGGAACGAGAGCCAGGGUAGCAAAAGGG